UAACGAAUCUUCCCCAAUGGGCGCAAGCCUGAGGGAGCGACGCCGCGUGGAGGAUGAAGUCCUUCGGGAUGUAAACUCCUGUCAGGGGUUACCAAGAUACUGAGGAGCCCCAGAGGAAGAGGCGGCUAACUCUGUGCCAGCAGCCGCGGUAAGACAGAGGCCUCGAGCGUUAGGUGGAAUCACUGGGCUUAAAGCGUGUGUAGGCGGAUCGUUAAGUGCCUUGUGAAAUCCCACGGCUUAACUGUGGAACGGCUGGGCAUACUGGCGGUCUUGAGCGAUCUAGGGGCAGAUGGAACAAGUGGUGGAGCGGUGAAAUGCGUAGAUAUCACUUGGAACGCCAAAGGUGAAAACAGUCUGCUGGGGAUCUGCUGACGCUGAGACACGAAAGCCAGGGGAGCAAACGGGAUUAGAUACCCGCGUAGUCC
rnacentral:rRNA from 1 species